GUGCCCACUAGAGUUCCCUCAUGCACUUCAGUUUAUUUGUCAAAACUUCUUUGCUGUUUACUGAAGUGUUUGGGGGAACUCCGGUUGCCAU
rfam:Gossypium raimondii Chr02_contig_1477, whole genome shotgun sequence.